rnacentral:misc_RNA from 1 species
GAUGAAGAACGCAGUGAAAUGCGAUACGUAAUGUGAAUUGCAGAAUUCAGUGAAUCAUCGAGUCUUUGAACGCACAUUGCGCCCCCUGGUAUUCCGGGGGGCAUGCCUGUCCGAGCGUCAUUGCUGCCCUCAAGCACGGCUUGUGUGUUGGGCCUCCGUCCUCCUCCCGGGGGACGGGCCCGAAAGGCAGCGGCGGCACCGCGUCCGGUCCUCGAGCGUAUGGGGCUUCGUCACCCGCUCUUGUAGGCCCGGCCGGCGCUUGCCGACACAUCAAUCUUUUUUCCAGGUUGACCUCUGAUCAGGUAGGGAUACCCGCUGAACUUAAGCAUAUCAAUAAGCGGAGGA